rnacentral:rRNA from 1 species
UCGUAACAAGGUCUCCGUUGGUGAACCAGCGGAGGGAUCAUUACUGAGUUUACGCUCUACAACCCUUUGUGAACAUACCUAUAACUGUUGCUUCGGCGGGUAGGGUCUCCGCGACCCUCCCGGCCUCCCGCCUCCGGGCGGGUCGGCGCCCGCCGGAGGAUAACCAAACUCUGAUUUAACGACGUUUCUUCUGAGUGGUACAAGCAAAUAAUCAAAACUUUUAACAACGGAUCUCUUGGUUCUGGCAUCGAUGAAGAACGCAGCGAAAUGCGAUAAGUAAUGUGAAUUGCAGAAUUCAGUGAAUCAUCGAAUCUUUGAACGCACAUUGCGCCCGCCAGCAUUCUGGCGGGCAUGCCUGUUCGAGCGUCAUUUCAACCCUCAAGCUCUGCUUGGUGUUGGGGCCCUACAGCCGAUGUAGGCCCUCAAAGGUAGUGGCGGACCCUCCCGGAGCCUCCUUUGCGUAGUAACUUUACGUCUCGCACUGGGAUCCGGAGGGACUCUUGCCGUAAAACCCCCCAAUUUUCCAAAGGUUGACCUCGGAUCAGGUAGGAAUACCCGCUGAACUUAAGCAUAUCA